GUGGGGAAUAUUGGACAAUGGGGGGAACCCUGAUCCAGCCAAGCCGCGUGUGUGAAGAAGGCCUUUUGGUUGUAAAGCACUUUAAGCGAGGAGGAGGCUACCGAGAUUAAUACUCUUGGAUAGUGGACGUUACUCGCAGAAUAAGCACCGGCUAACUCUGUGCCAGCAGCCGCGGUAAUACAGAGGGUGCAAGCGUUAAUCGGAUUUACUGGGCGUAAAGCGCGCGUAGGUGGCCAAUUAAGUCAAAUGUGAAAUCCCCGAGCUUAACUUGGGAAUUGCAUUCGAUACUGGUUGGCUAGAGUAUGGGAGAGGAUGGUAGAAUUCCAGGUGUAGCGGUGAAAUGCGUAGAGAUCUGGAGGAAUACCGAUGGCGAAGGCAGCCAUCUGGCCUAAUACUGACACUGAGGUGCGAAAGCAUGGGGAGCAAACAGGAUUAGAUACCCCGGUAGUCC
rnacentral:rRNA from 1 species